GGGUAGUAUAGCUCAGUUGGUAGAGCAGAAGCCUGAAAAGCUUUUGGUCGUUGGUUCGAGUCCAACUACUCCCA
rnacentral:tRNA from 1 species